rnacentral:misc_RNA from 1 species
GAUGGAAGAACGCAGCGAAAUGCGAUAAGUAGUGUGAAUUGCAGAAUUCAGUGAAUCAUCGAAUCUUUGAACGCACAUUGCGCCCCUUGGUAUCCCGAGGGGCAUGCCUGUUCGAGCGUCAUUUCACCACUCAAGCCUGGCUUGGUGUUGGGCGACGUCCUCUUUGGGGACGCGCCUCGAAACGCUCGGCGGCGUGGCACCGGCUUUAAGCGUAGCAGAAUCUUUCGCUUUGGAAGUCGGGGCCCCGUCUGCCGGAAGACCUGCUCGCAAGGUUGACCUCGGAUCAGGCAGGGAUACCCGCUGAACUUAAGCAUAUCAAUAAGCGGAGGA